UACGCGAGCGGUCGCACGUGUGCUUAAACUUUUUCAAAAUAUUUUUAUUUGAUUUUGAUUUAUUAUGAAAGAGAAGGAAAAGAUUUUCAGCACAAGGCCUACGCGAGCGGUCGCACGUGUGCUUAAACCUUUUCAAAAUAUUUUUUAUUUGAUUUUGAAAUUUUGUAAAAGAAAAAGAAAAGAUUUUCAGCACAAGGCCUACGCGAGCGGUCGCACUCCAACUAAAGAUAUUAAGCAUAACAAACAUUUUGUUCUUUAAUAAAAUAAAAGUUAUUUUUGUUUUUUUUUUUAUUUUCAUUAUAAUUUUCAAUUUUAUUACAUGUGCUUAAACCUUUUUGAAAUAUUUUUUGGAUUUUAUUAUUUUUUAAAAGAAAAGGAAAAGAUUUUCAGCACAAGGCCUACGCGAGCGGUCGCACGUGUGCUUAAACCUUUUCAAAAUAUUUUUAUUUGAUUUUUAAAUUUUGUAAAAGAAAAGGAAAANUUUCAAAAUAUUUUUAUUUGAUUUUUAAAUUUUGUAAAAGAAAAGGAAAAGAUUUUUCGCACAAGGCCUACGCGAGCGGUCACACGUGUGCUUAAACCUUUUCAAAAUAUUUUUAUUUGAUUUUUAUAAAAAAGAAGGAAAAGAUCUUCAGCACAAGGUCUACGCGAGCGGUCGCACGUGUGCUUAAACCUUUCCAAAAUAUUUUUAUUUGAUUUUUUAAUUUUUUAUUAACAAAUGAGUAUAACAAACAAACAAUAAAUGUCAAACAAAAAGUAAUAAUAAAAGCAAAGACAAUAAAAAAAAAAAAAAGUCCAACAAGCCCAAUAAGAGUGAGGUGCAGAAAUUAAAAAACAGGGGUGCACAGCAAGUUUGAGACUGCCAGGGGUAUAAUUAUUAAAUUGGUGGUGCAGCGCGAAAUAACCUGUCCAGGCCCAAAGACAGGGGUGCAGCUGUAAAGUUGGGGGGUGCCACUGGAUAUUCGCUGGUCAGGCUUAAGGCCUCUUUGUUUGCAGAAAGAAGUGGAGGUGCGAACAGAGUUGUGUGUGGUGACANGAGGAGAGGGCACGCCCAAUAGCCAGGCCCAAAGCCCUUUUGUAUGCAGAUAGGGAAUGGGGUGUGAAUAGGAUUGCAGGUGAUGGCAAAGAGAACGAGGUCCAAUAGCCAGACCCAAAUCUUCUUAACCCUAACAGAAAUUAGGGGUUUCCUAAUUUUCAUUCCAUUUCAUCACUUAGACACCCAAUGCUCCAGAGAUCUAGGGCUUCUUUCCCUCUGAACGAAAGAAAGCCAACGACCUAACCUCUACUGCUCACGGCCAAGAGUUAGCUUCCGGCCACCACGAACUAUGGUCCACAGCGUCGCCGACCACGACCCUCGUCACCGACCACGACCCUCGUCGCAUGAGUCCAAGUCGAGGUCGUCGUCCUCCGUCGAGCUGGCCGCCACGGACUCCGCCAGACGCCGCGCCAAUCUCUCUUUCUCCCCUUUCUACGAGAACAGCCACUCACCGAGCUAAUGACGUCUCACCGGAAACAAACCCAGGGGAACAAUUUCCCUCGUCAAACUCCGAUACGGUGUGGUUCGAAAGCGAGAGUCUCCCUUUCCUCUCCCUCUCUUAUUUGAAUUCCAAAUCAACGCCGCCAGCAAAACAAGACAAUGUCGUCAACUCUCGCCCUGUUUCUGUGCUUUGAUUGGGUUUGGGUUUGUGUGCGAGGGGUUUUGGGCUGGAAUAUUGGUUUGUUCUCUUCUGUAUUUUCAAUGCAGGGAAGCUCGGAACAGGGGGUGUAAUGAGGAGGAUGAUAAUGGGGAUCUGGUGGUGGAAGGGUGCUGGUAGAAUUUGAGUUUGUAGGUUGAAGAUGAGGGUCCUGAUGUGUGAAUAGAGAUGGGGAAUAUGGUGGAGAUGGAGGUUAUGAAGUGAGAUUCUGUUUCUGUUUUUAUUUUGUAGAAACGAUGAUAGGUAGUAGGGAUUUGGGGGAAGAAUUGGUGUAGGAGGUGGAGGCGUGAUGGAGGAAUCGGUGGGAGAAUCCCAUUUUACUAUGCCGGAGAAAACGAUUUUGGAGAGGGUGCUUCUGCUGAGUGAGUAGUGAUUUUCCUUGUGAGAAUUUUGUUUUGUCCUUAAAUCCGUAAGGAUAGGCCAUCAAGCUUGGUGUUGGAAUACGAAUUUUCGAAGACAAGGAAUUGGGAGAGGGUGGGAAAAUGUGGUCUGUGAAUGAAUGGUGGCGUGGUUCCUUUUUGGUUGGUGGCAGGCAACCUCUUUAUUUGUACGUGUAAAAGGGAUUUUUAGGAGGUGAUUAAUCUCUUCUCCGGUGAGCCAGUAAGAGAAAAAGAAAGAUGUAUUAGAAGAAUCUGGAAUUUCCGGCACGAAUGAAGCUAGGUGAGGAUGGCCUCGAAUUGCCAGCGAAAAAAGAAAUGUUUGGGGUGGUUACGAGUGUCUAUUCCCAGCCAGUCAGAAUCCAUGGAUAAAAAAUCAUCAAAAGCCCCCCGUACCUCCUAGGUCAUUAGCUCCCAAAUACCUUUUUUAACCGUUUUGCCCCUUCCAAAACGUGUCUGAUAACAAAUUUUUUUUCCUUUUUUUCUUUAUCAUUCACGUUUUCCUUUUCUUUUCCUUUUUGUAUUAUUAUUUUUUUUCGUUUCCUCAUUUUUCUAUUUUUCUUUCCUUUUUUUUUUCUUUUCUUGUUUCGAUUUUCCUUUUUCGCUUUUUUUUUUGUUUUCCUUUUCUUUUCUUUUGGUUCUUUUUUCAUUUUGCUUUUCUUUUUUUUUUU
rnacentral:lncRNA from 1 species